GCCUGGGUGGCUCAGUCAGUUGAGCAUCUGACUUCAGCUCAGGUCAUGAGCUCUCUUUCGUGGGUUCGAGCCCUGCGUCGGGCU
rnacentral:tRNA from 1 species